rnacentral:rRNA from 1 species
AUCAAUAAGCGGAGGAAAAGAAACCAACAGGGAUUGCCCUAGUAACGGCGAGUGAAGCGGCAACAGCUCAAAUUUGAAAUCUGGCCUUUGGCCCGAGUUGUAAUUUGUAGAGGAUGCUUUUGGCGCGGUGCCUUCUGAGUUCCCUGGAACGGGACGCCAGAGAGGGUGAGAGCCCCGUACAGUCGGACACCUAGCCUCUGUAAAGCUCCUUCGACGAGUCGAGUAGUUUGGGAAUGCUGCUCAAAAUGGGAGGUAAAUUUCUUCUAAAGCUAAAUACCGGCCAGAGACCGAUAGCGCACAAGUAGAGUGAUCGAAAGAUGAAAAGCACUUUGAAAAGAGGGUUAAACAGUACGUGAAAUUGUUGAAAGGGAAGCGCUCGUGACCAGACUUGCGCUCGGUGGAUCAUCUAGCGUUCUCGCUGGUGCACUCCGCCGUGCUCAGGCCAGCAUCGGUUUCCCCGGGGGGAUAAAAGCUUCGGGAACGUGGCUCCUUCGGGAGUGUUAUAGCCCGUUGCACAAUGCCUUCGGGGGGACCGAGGUUCGCGCUCCGCAAGGAUGCUGGCGUAAUGGUUACCGGCGACCCGUCUUGAAACACGGACCAAGGAGUCAAGCAUUAGGGCGAGUGUUUGGGUGUAAAACCCGCACGCGUAAUGAAAGUGAACGUAGGUGAGAGCUUCGGCGCAUCAUCGACCGAUCCUGAUGUUCUCGGAUGGAUUUGAGUAAGAGCCUUACCGCUUGGACCCGAAAGAUGGUGAACUAUGCCUGUAUAGGGUGAAGCCAGAGGAAACUCUGGUGGAGGCUCGCAGCGGUUCUGACGUGCAAAUCGAUCGUCAAAUAUGGGCAUGGGGGCGAAAGACUAAUCGAACCAUCUAGUAGCUGGUUACCGCCGAAGUUUCCCUCAGGAUAGC